CAACUUUUCCUAAAGGAUGUUAUGACAAAGAACCUUUAAUAUGUAGCUCCGAGGCAGAUGCUAUUUGUACAAAUACUGCAUACAAAGCUUAUGUUGAAGUCAAUUGUCAAAAGACAUGUUACCAGUGUUCAGGACAUAUAAGAACAACACCAACACCUAAAGGUUGUUCAUUUAAUGGAGUUCAUUACCAACAUAAUGCUCAGUGGAGAGAUGGCUGUAAAAACUGUAGUUGUGUCAACGGUAUCUCCACUUGUGU